rnacentral:rRNA from 1 species
UACGUAGGGUGCAAGCGUUGUCCGGAAUUAUUGGGCGUAAAGAGCUCGUAGGCGGUCUGUCGCGUCUGCUGUGAAAACUCGGGGCUUAACCCCGGGCCUGCAGUGGGUACGGGCAGACUAGAGUGCGGUAGGGGAGACUGGAAUUCCUGGUGUAGCGGUGAAAUGCGCAGAUAUCAGGAGGAACACCGGUGGCGAAGGCGGGUCUCUGGACCGUAACUGACGCUGAGGAGCGAAAGCGUGGGGAGCGAACAGG